rnacentral:rRNA from 1 species
ACGGGAGGCAGCAGUGGGGAAUAUUGGACAAUGGGCGAAAGCCUGAUCCAGCGACGCCGCGUGAGUGAAGAAGUAUUUCGGUAUGUAAAGCUCUAUCAGCAGGGAAGAUAAUGACGGUACCUGACUAAGAAGCCCCGGCUAACUACGUGCCAGCAGCCUCGGUAAUACGUAGGGGGCAAGCGUUAUCCGGAUUUACUGGGUGUAAAGAGAGCGUAGACGGCAUGGCAAGUCUGAUGUGAAAACCCAGGGCUCAACCCUGGGACUGCAUUGGAAACUGUCAGGCUAGAGUGCAGGAGAGGUAAGUGGAAUUCCUAGUGUAGCGGUGAAAUGCGUAGAUAUUAGGAGGAACACCAGUGGCGAAGGCGGCUUACUGGACUGUAACUGACGUUGAGGCUCGAAAGCGUGGGGAGCAAACAGGAUUAGAUACCCUGGUA